rfam:Schistosoma mattheei strain Denwood, Zambia genome assembly, scaffold: SMTD_contig0001201
GCACCGCUGAGGAGUCCCACAGUAGGACGAAACGACCGUCAUUGGUGC